AUGACGAUGCCUAUCCGUCGAGGCGGUGGAGUCAGCCGCGGCCGCGUACAGGGUGCAACGCCCCCGGUGCCGUCGAGACCGUUGAGCCGCGGACCAAGCAUCGUCGAUGCCGCCGAUUCUUCUCGGAGGGUUUCUCUGCUGCUUGCCUCGCGUUGCAUUGGUUUGCUGCUUGCUUUGCCUUGCUGUGUCUUCAGUUUCAGUUGUGCAGAAACUGUAAUUUUAGUUGUGCAGACAGCAGAGAAGCAGCAACAACAGAGAAACAGCAACAAUGGAGAAGCAGCAACAGUAGGAGAAAUGCCAGAUUGA
rnacentral:rRNA from 1 species